GGGUUAAAAGGUGAAACUCUACCACACGAGAAACAUGAACUUGUGUAAAAGUAUUUUUACUUGUAAAAUAGUGUUUAAAACUAGCGGAUCUACGUAUCUGCAAGUGGUAUUUUCAAAGGACCAAGUGUCGAGAAAAUCAUGUUUUCUAAAAGUCGGAUGACACACUAACAAGUAUGAUUUUUACAAACCACAAGUGUAUAAACACUUGUGAAACGAAAAGUUUUUACGAGAUUAAACUAUUUUAUACAAAGAUCCACAAAAUAUAACGGGAUCUACACUAUAGUUUUCGGAAAAACUACAAGUUCAUGCG
rnacentral:lncRNA from 1 species